AGUGAUAAGCGUAAGAAGAGAUCUGAACCGUUGAUCGCCUUUUAUCUCAAACCCGUUCAUUAACGCUUGAUACGAGGAUUGAUCCAAUGCAUCUCAUCGCGGUGCAUCUAACCUAAUGUGCAUCCAAGGUGGAGAUCUCUUCUUAUGCUUCUCACCU
rnacentral:ncRNA from 2 species